CUCCCGCCUUUCUACAGUACUUACUGAGCGAGCGGGACCGCUAGGAGGCCCGUUGCCAUGCCUGAGGAGAGCCAGCCAUUGCUGAGUUCCCUUCUCUUCGCUUGCCUUUGCUGGAUGUCACGGUUUCCACAAACAUGAAGUCGGUUUUAAGAGAGUGAAGAAGGAUAUUGAAAAUCCUCCUACUGAAAUGGUGGGAAGAUGGAGAGAAAAAUAGGAUGGAAUUAUGUUAUUUGUAACUGCAAUUCAAGGUGAAGUAAAAAGCAUCCAGAGAGUUGAAUGAAAAUCUGCACACAAAAGACAAUAAUGAAUGAAAUGAAUUUGGUGAUAAUGAUUCAGAGCAUUCUACUGCAAUCACUGUGGUCUGGGAUAGCACUCAAUCUUUUCAACAGUUAUGUGGAUGAAGGUACACAUGGAAAAGUUGUAAAAUUUAGAACUGGGCUGAAACUAUGGUGACAUUUUAAGGCAAUAAAGAGUUAAACAUACAGCAGUAUCAUGAAAAUCAACAAUAAUAAAGAAUCAGGGUGGCAAAAGCAAAAUGUAUACCAUGGGGCAAUAAUUAGUAAACAGCACUAUUUAAACUUGGGAUAGAUGGUGAAACCUUGUAUUUCUUAAGGAGAAAAUGCUCCUUGACUAAUCCCUUGUUCAGCGAUUUUUUAAAUACUGUUUAUAAAAAUUUAUAGAAUGGAUUCCAACUACUGUUUUCUCGUUGACACCUUUUUCUUUUUUGCUUUUCACAAAAUAUCUCUUAAGAAGACAAGGGGCCUUGCCAUUUUGGACCAGUAAUACUAGAAUUCUCUGCUUAGAAAUAUGCUUAAGUGGUCUGACCCUUUGGCUAUGGUAAAAAUGAGAAGUAAAGUUAAGCCUAUAACAAUGUUUAAUGUUUACAAGAUAUUAUAAUAAGGAAGAUUUGUGUUAUCCCCUCCCCAAGAAGCAAUUGCUGGAUCCAUCUGUUUUAGAUAACUUUGGCCCCAUCUCCAACCUUCCCUUUUAAAGGAGGGUUGCUAAAAAGUAGGUCCACUGGAGUUUCAGAGAUUCCUGGAAAAAAAAAACAGAUUAUCUGGACCCUGUUUAGUCGGGCUUCAGAUCUGGUAUAGGACUAAAAUGACAUUGAUUAUACAUGUGAAUGAUCUCUGGUAAGGCAGGAUGGGGUGAUGCAUCCAUCCUUGCUUACCUUGAUCUCUCAUUGAUUUUUGAUGCUGUGAAUCAUAAUAAUCUGAACUGGCUUUGGCUGCUAGGAGUGGGAGGUGUAGUUCUGAGUGGAUUCUUCUCUUCUGGGGCCUUCCUUCCUCCUGGGAGAAAAGAUCUAGCCUACAAUCCCUUCUCUGUGGAAUACUUAAGGGUUCUACACUCUCCCUAUUUCUAUUUAACAUUUAAUGAAGGCAUUGGCUGAAGGUAAGGCAUCAUCAAUAUGCUGAUGAUACAUAGCUCUAAAUGUCCAUCCUGAGCUAACCAAAAGAUGACAAUGAGUUUCUGUCUUAGUGUUUUGAGGUUGGUUGGGGAAUAAGAAGUUUCAGCUUCAUUCUAGCAAAAUGGAAGUUUUGGGCCCGCUGGAUUCAAUGUUUUCCCACCUUUGGUUUUGGAUGGGUUUGCACUACCCCAAACAGAACAGUGCACCAUACGAGUGCUCCCCUGGACUCAGAGUUCCUGUUUGAAAAGCAAGUGGUAACUUUGUUUUAGAAAAGUAGUACUUUUUGUGGGGUAUAAGACACUGCUCAUACUCAUACCUUAGUUACCCAUCAAGUGGAUUACUGCAGUGUGCUCUAUAGAGCUGCCCCAAAUGAGAACCAGAAGAUUAAAUUGGUCCUAGCCUAGCCACGCUUUUCCUCUGGAGCAGUGGUUCUCAACCUUUUUAAUGCCGCGACCCCCAACUGGUCAUAAGUCAAGGACUAAACCGGUUGUAAGUCGAGGACUAAACUGGUCAUAAGUCGAGG